UGAGCUUCAAUAAGUCUGCUCACGAGAGUUAGUGGAGAAGUGUCUGUUUUUAGAUGUUUUGUACUUUUUCUUCUAAUUUCUUUUAUUUAUUGAAAUAUUAAUCCUAAUAUUAGUGGUAUAUUCUUUCAUGUUAGUACAAAGUCCUCACCACUUGCAUAUCCGUAAGCUCUAUACGAAUUACUUAAUGGUCAACGAACACAACUAUUUCAAGACGUUAUACAGAAAACAAGAUACAAUGUUAAUAAGCUAGUAACGGCAUUUUCACAAAAUUAAAUGCUGCAAGAAGGCUUGGAGACUUGCCCAACAAAAUAAACAACUAAUUCUGGUGUAUCCACAUCUCAUCCUUCGACAUAACAUGCUAAUGACUUGUCUUCUCAACCUGGCUGAUCUCUGAACUCAAAAUUUCUGUAAGAUGAACUACAGCAGGAAAGAAAAGAUGAAGCUCAAGAUUCAAGAAUAUGAAUUAUUUUUACUUAUUAGCUGGUCUUGGAACUCAUGAACUUCCGUUAAACUGAACUGAAGCCGGAAGCUAAAGAGGAUAAAAACCGAGUAUAGGAGAAAAUGGAAUGAUUUCGCCUUCAAAUAUAUGUAUGUAUAUAUGUAUUUCAGUUGUUAAGGAUUGACUAUGUCAGUAUAAUGAGAGCGUUAAAAUUAAGGAUACUAAAAUUGGGUAUUUUAAAUAGUGAUUAAUGUAAUCCAUUUUUUUUUUUCUAAAGGGGAAGGAGUGUUAGGUAGCAAGUUCAAUUUAUUUAGUUUUGGAUUUGUUAACCGUGCAUAUAUUAUUCAUUCUUUCGUUUCGUUAAGCUGUGAAUAUUUAGUUUUACAUUUAAACGCUAACUCACGAUCUAGUUAUUC